rnacentral:misc_RNA from 1 species
GGAGAGGGUAAAAGUAGAAUAUUCAAUAAAAGCCAUUCAUAGGAAUUCAUUCUAAUAAAAGACCAACAAGAGAGAUUACAAUUGAGAGAGCAAUAUAAACAACACAACAAAUUUGUCAUCUUGUGAGUCCCAAAUGCAAGAGCCAGGGACCAAAGGCUGCAAUGAAAUCUCAUGAAAUCUGGGGUUGCGGCUCAAGAAACACAAAACACUUUGAACCUCUUUACACCAUUGUCAUGUCCUCCACAUGAAAUCCUGAUUCCACAUUCCAAACUUAAAUGCCAAAUCAA